rnacentral:rRNA from 1 species
UACGGGGGGUGCAAGCGUUGUCCGGAAUCACUGGGCGUAAAGGGCGCGUAGGUGGUUUGAUAAGGGUGUGGUGAAAGCCCGGGGCUCAACCCCGGGUCUGCCGUGCCGACUGUCAAACUCGAGGGCUGUAGAGGCAGACGGAAUUCCGGGUGUAGCGGUGGAAUGCGUAGAGAUCCGGAGGAAGACCGGUGGCGAAGGCGGUCUGCUGGGCAGUUUCUGACACUGAGGCGCGACAGCGUGGGGAGCAAAUAGG